CGCCCGUCGCUCCUACCGAUUGGGUGUGCUGGUGAAGUGUUCGGAUCGACCACAGGGGGCGGUCUCCGCCGACUGUGGUUGAGAAGUUCAUUAAACCCUCCCACCUAGAGGAAGGAGAAGUCGUAACAAGGUUUCC
rnacentral:rRNA from 1 species